rnacentral:rRNA from 1 species
UACGUAGGGGGCAAGCGUUGUCCGGAAUCAUUGGGCGUAAAGAGCGUGUAGGCGGCCCGAUAAGUCCGCUGUGAAAGUCCAGGGCUCAACCCUGGGAUGCCGGUGGAUACUGUCGGGCUCGAGUCCGGAAGAGGAGUGUGGAAUUCCUGGUGUAGCGGUGAAAUGCGCAGAUAUCAGGAGGAACACCAGUGGCGAAGGCGGUCUGCUGGGCCGUUGCUGACGCUGAUGCGCGACAGCGUGGGGAGCAAACAGG